UUAUUUUUUAUCCAAGCCUUAUCCCUAUUGGGUGGGAUUAUAUUAUGUUGUUUAUAAACUUAUAUUAGAAUGAGCUUGUUGGUUUGAGUCGUAAGAAGUUAGUUUGCUAAAGGUCUAGUGUUUAAAUCCUUGCGUGAAUGUGGGUGAUAAAUUUUUUUGCGAUAUGGAUUUUUUUCAAUUUUCAAUUUUUUUGUUUUUCUCUUUUCUCUUUCUUCCCAAGAAAAUUCUAACAUUAGUUUUCCCUUUCUCUGCAUAUUUCCUGUCAAUUGACAAAUUCCUAUUUCCUCGCUCUCCGUUCUCUGUUGCAAUUUUGUUAUUCAAUUUCAGUAUUCUGGUUCUUCGGUGUUGGCG
rnacentral:lncRNA from 1 species